rnacentral:rRNA from 1 species
CUGGCGGCGUGCCUAAUACAUGCAAGUCGAGCGAGCAGAACCAGCAGAUUUACUUCGGUAAUGACGCUGGGGACGCGAGCGGCGGAUGGGUGAGUAACACGUGGGGAACCUGCCCCAUAGUCUGGGAUACCACUUGGAAACAGGUGCUAAUACCGGAUAAGAAAGCAGAUCGCAUGAUCAGCUUAUAAAAGGCGGCGUAAGCUGUCGCUAUGGGAUGGCCCCGCGGUGCAUUAGCUAGUUGGUAAGGCAACGGCUUACCAAGGCAAUGAUGCAUAGCCGAGUUGAGAGACUGAACGGCCACAUUGGGACUGAGACACGGCCCAAACUCCUACGGGAGGCAGCAGUAGGGAAUCUUCCACAAUGGACGCAAGUCUGAUGGAGCAACGCCGCGUGAGUGAAGAAGGUUUUCGGAUCGUAAAGCUCUGUUGUUGGUGAAGAAGGAUAGAGGCAGUAACUGGCCUUUAUUUGACGGUAAUCAACCAGAAAGUCACGGCUAACUACGUGCCAGCAGCCGCGGUAAUACGUAGGUGGCAAGCGUUGUCCGGAUUUAUUGGGCGUAAAGCGAGCGCAGGCGGAAGAAUAAGUCUGAUGUGAAAGCCCUCGGCUUAACCGAGGAAUUGCAUCGGAAACUGUUUUUCUUGAGUGCAGAAGAGGAGAGUGGAACUCCAUGUGUAGCGGUGGAAUGCGUAGAUAUAUGGAAGAACACCAGUGGCGAAGGCGGCUCUCUGGUCUGCAACUGACGCUGAGGCUCGAAAGCAUGGGUAGCGAACAGGAUUAGAUACCCUGGUAGUCCAUGCCGUAAACGAUGAGUGCUAAGUGUUGGGAGGUUUCCGCCUCUCAGUGCUGCAGCUAACGCAUUAAGCACUCCGCCUGGGGAGUACGACCGCAAGGUUGAAACUCAAAGGAAUUGACGGGGGCCCGCACAAGCGGUGGAGCAUGUGGUUUAAUUCGAAGCAACGCGAAGAACCUUACCAGGUCUUGACAUCUAGUGCCAUCCUAAGAGAUUAGGAGUUCCCUUCGGGGACGCUAAGACAGGUGGUGCAUGGCUGUCGUCAGCUCGUGUCGUGAGAUGUUGGGUUAAGUCCCGCAACGAGCGCAACCCUUGUUAUUAGUUGCCAGCAUUAAGUUGGGCACUCUAAUGAGACUGCCGGUGACAAACCGGAGGAAGGUGGGGAUGACGUCAAGUCAUCAUGCCCCUUAUGACCUGGGCUACACACGUGCUACAAUGGGCAGUACAACGAGAAGCGAGCCUGCGAAGGCAAGCGAAUCUCUGAAAGCUGUUCUCAGUUCGGACUGCAGUCUGCAACUCGACUGCACGAAGCUGGAAUCGCUAGUAAUCGCGGAUCAGAACGCCGCGGUGAAUACGUUCCCGGGCCUUGUACACACCGCCCGUCACACCAUGGAAGUCUGCAAUGCCCAAAGCCGGUGGCCUAACCUUCGGGAAGGAGCCGUCUAAGGCAGGGCAGAUGACUGGG